rnacentral:rRNA from 1 species
GACCUACGGGGCGCAGCAGUGGGGAAUAUUGGGCAAUGGAGGCAACUCUUACCCAGCAAUGCCGCGUGAAUGAAGAAGGUCUUCGGAUUGUAAAGUUCUUUAAUUGGGGACGAAAAAAAUGACGGUACCCAAGGAAUAAGCCCCGGCUAACUACGUGCCAGCAGCCGCGGUAAUACGUAGGGGGCAAGCGUUAUCCGGAAUUACUGGGUGUAAAGGGAGCGUAGACGGUGAUGCAAGUCUGGAGUGAAAGGCGGGGGCCUAACCC